rnacentral:rRNA from 1 species
AUGGCCAGGAGCAGAACAAGUGCUAGAGUCAAGAUUGGCCAUGCUCCACAGCUGCGUUUGCUGGGAUACCUACGGCCAGGAAGGCAGGUGCUGGAGAUUGGCAACACCACCAUCAAGGCUAGUACACAGGCAAGCCCAAGCACGAUUGUCCCCAGUGUCCAGAUGUUAGCAUUGAGUCUACGUUUUGGAAUCCACAAUGAAGUCAAGAUGCUGCGUAGCUUCCUCAUGUGCUUUCCGAACGUCGAGAAUCUUCUUAUCGAGUCUGGGGAAACUCAUGAACCCACUGGCAAUCUCCGUCUCAAGUUCUGGCAGGAGAAUGGUAUGAUUGAGUGCAUCCGAUCGCGCCUCAAAAGUAUUGUUUUCCGUGAGUACCAUGGGCAUCAGAAUGAGUUUGCCUUUCUCAUGUUCAUUGCCGAGAAUGCAAAGGUGCUGGAGCGGAUGGUGGUUGAGUUGAAGUUUGGAAGGUAUGAUGUGCCUCUACAGAUCGCUAUCAAGAUGAAAGCUCUGGAGGGUGCCAAAUGGGCCAGUGGAGGCCACAAAUUGCAACUCACCUUCAGUAAAUUUCCUACUGCAUGGAGCCUCUCGAGAGGAUCCGACUUCUCAUGUGAUGACCCUUUCCUCUGCCUCUGCUAUAUGCCAACCUAUUUCGAAAUGCGAGACAGCUCUGGCCAAUUCAAGCCCCUGGGUUAUCUUUAG